rnacentral:ncRNA from 1 species
AAAACACUGCCACCGGGUAGAAGCAUUCGCUUGCACAUCGUUAGGUCAUAGAAGAUGUGCGGACGGAUGCUUAUUUUUU